UCUGAGAGAGCCUGUCUUUGAAGGUGUAGCGAUAGAUGGGGUUCCAUCUAACGAAUUGAGUGAUGAACCAGUACAAACUGAACCACAAUUCAGCUAAAGAUAAACCCAUCCAAGCCCAUCUUUUCAGUAGUUGUCCACCUGCAGCUGGGAAGUGAACCACCCUAUAAACACAGAUAAAAGUGAUGCCCACCAAAACAGAUGCUGCAUAGCAUUUGAAUAGUAUACGACCCCUAGCAGCUUUUGUUUCAAAGAGAGGAAGAUAGCCAUCUUUGCCCAUUGCUUCUGUCUUUCUCUCACCACCAUGUGAUCAGCUUAUAUAAAUAGUUUGGUUUGCAUUUUUCAUUUUAUUGUUGUUAUGGUCAAAACUUUACUUUGCCGCUUUAAAUAGCAUCAAAGAAAGGAGUAAAAACAAAUUAUCCCAUCUAAGCCCACCCAUCUCUAAAUUGCUUUCCUCUUGUAAAUGACCCGAGCACAAAUAGAACAAGUACCCACAAAGAUUGAAACUGGAUAAACAGUGAAACAAGAUUUGACCCUUUUCAGCCCUUGUUUCAAACAGAGGAAGAGAAGCAUCUCUCUAGCUCUCAUACUCUUACUCUCCCUCUGCUGUCUCAUGCAUUACCUUAUAUAACCUGCCUACUGUUUCCUUUAAAUUCAAGAAUGUAUCUAACAAAGAGAGAAGGGAUAUUCAAGGUUUAAGCAUCCUCUGCAUGCACAAACAGAGUUCAUGUGCUCAUUCUUUUUUCCUUAAAAAAUUGCAAUUUCUGGACUCUCUGGUGACACCCUGAUGAACAGGGGUUUAAGCAAGAGGCUUGUAACAAAUUAAAAAUGGUAUAUGAUUAAUAUCUAAGCCUUUAUACCUGGAAAAACAUAUACUAUCCAUUAUUGAAAGUUGAAACUGCAUCAGUUAUACAUAUAUAACAGUUCUUGAGAGCAUUAUAUAAUACAUAUAAAGUUGUGGCAAAGAGACUUUGCUUACUGAUACAGUAAACUAAUACAAGGCUAUUGAACAGGCCAACAGCGCUAAAGAAACUGAUUUGUAUGUGACUGAUGUUGGCAUGGUGCCCUUGUCCUUGCGGAAAAAGAGCCCUUGGUAUACAGGCAGGUUGAUGAGAACAAGAACCCCACAUAAGAUAAUCUGCAGAGCUAGUGACUCCAAAGGUUUAAUUUGAAUAUCCACAACCACCCUCUUUAUACCACAAACAAAACUGAACAGAUUGAGCAAUGCAAGUGUAGCUAAAAUGGUAAACAUUGGUGAAGGAGAACCAAACUCCAUGAUUUCUUGCUCGUAUCUUUGAGACACAUCUUCAUCACACACCUUUGCAGUGACAGCAAAAGUGGUCUCAGCAAAGCCUAGUAUCCUCAAGAUUGUAUCAAGGAAGGCAAAGAAGUAGGAAGUUGUCCUUCUGAACAUCCAUAUUCUUUGAUCAUUCCACCAACCUUGGAUUGUGCCGCCAUACCAAUGAAACUCACCUAAGCUGUAUGCAUGCUUGGCGAUAAUGACAUAGGCAAAGGGAAGGACCCACAGGCUCCAUAUCUGAACAAGUAACAUAAUUCAUUGCUGGGAACCAAAUAGCAUUUCAAUUGUUUGGAUACAGCAAAGUGUCAUGCCAGGACUUCUCUUUUCUAAAAUGGACGAAGAAAUGCACAUAGUUCUUUUCGAAGUAUUUAGGAAAAUCUAUCAUGUUCAGACACUAAAUUUAUUGAGAAAUUUUGCUGGCUAGCGAUCAUACAUCAUGGAACAAUGUUGCCUGUGCUUGACAGUAAGUAUUUUGCAGUUUUGUACUACUCAGAAGUUUUUAAGUUUGGAAGUAUCUGUUUCAAUGAUGUAAUUUUCAUACCUCUGGAAACAAGGAGAUGCCUCCAAGGAGACAAAGGGAUGGGACAGCAGCAUAGCAUAGCGUAGCCAAGGAGUACGCAGCCCACAGAUUAUAGAUAGAGUAUGCGAGUUGAAGUUUCAGAGGAACCUUUUUGUGUCCAUAUAUNNNNNNNNNNNNNNNNNNNNNNNNNNNNNNNNNNNNNNNNNNNNNNNNNNNNNNNNNNNNNNNNNNNNNNNNNNNNNNNNNNNNNNNNNNNNNNNNNNNNGAAGCCCUUCCUUUCUGGAUUGAAAUAGACGGAUUUCCAACCUCUACAUUGUAUUGAGAAUCCUGUGAUAAUGUCUUCCACUGCACAAUCAUACUUAAGGCCCAUCUGCAAUUCAACAUAAAGAUUAAGUUUUUUAGCUUAAGAAAUAGGAAAAAGCUUUACAGGCAGGAAAUUCAUGAGACAGAGAGACAGAAGAACCUCCUUUCCCCAUUGACUGUUCUCUUCGUAGGUACAACUUGCAAGGACCUUACAUGAUUCUUCUAAUACACUAGCACUUUCUCUUCCUCUUCUGUCAUUCUCUCUCUUCCAUUCUCUCUCACAUUCCUUGCCAUAUUUCAUUCCACACAGUGCCACUCUCCUAUGAAAGCACCCGGUACCAAUAUAGAAAGGUCCUCCAUUAGAAUCAAGGCCUGGAAGUUCCACCUUUUUCACCAGUCAUGCCAAAAGCCAACAAUAAAAUCAUUAGGAAGUCAUUGCUAAUGCCUACCUCCUCUAGGCCAAGCAGUAAGGAAUAAAUAAUUCUUUCCAAUCUUGCCUACCUGAAUAAUCACCCUAAAGCAGGUGCCAUAUAAGUCAUUCCUAGUAAGAUUAUCGUAGCACUGUGGAAACUGGACAUAAGCAAUUUCAUGGCCCUUCUCUUCAUCCAUGAAAAAACACAGAGCAUCUCUCACUGAUUCUGAAUUGUUGGAGUACAUGUCACAGUCCACAUUAAGAAUAAUCGAGCCAUUGCUUAUCUUUGAUGACACCCUUAUCUGUUCAACAAAAUCAGAGUCACCUACAUUAAGAUAAUUGGCAGUGGUUCACUGUAGGAAAGCUGAAGUCAUUUAAGCUUACGAGUGCAUUCAUGGCUCCAGCUUUAAAAUUGUGAUGGUAUUGGGGUCUCUUCUCACGGGACAAGUAUACUAGAGUUGGCAAAGGUUGUCCUUCAGAGUCCACAGCCUUGGGGUCUCUCCCAUCAAUCACUAUCUGUUACUUUAUAUAAUAUUAGUAAAAGAUGAAUCAAAGAUAAAUAUGGAGAAAAACUUAGUAGAGAUGUAUUUGUUUUCAAGAAGAAAUCUCUUGGAAUAGGAAAAAAUACACAAAUUAGUAGAAUAACUACUUGAACAAUGGACUGAUGGUCAUGCCGUGUUGAAGCACUGUUCCACUCCAGAAAUCCCUUGUGCUCCUUUCUUAUUUCUUCUGAAAUCCUGCCCAGUCUAGUGGUGGUUUCGAUUCUAUUCUUCAUGUCUUCAUAUAAUUCCUAUAAUGAGAAAAGGAAUAGAACUUCUAAAUCAUAUGUAGAAAAACUCUAAAAAGAUUUGCCUAGUAUGGGAGUCACACAUACUCAUUAUAACAUGGAAAGAGAAAAAUUCAAGUACCAUACCACAUACCAUUACACACUCUGAUGAACAUUUUCUUUGUUCUCCUAAGAGUUUAAGUUCCUAGGAUUUGGACUUUUUUUAUUUUAUUUUAUUUUUUAAUUUUUUUAUUUGUGGGCAUACAUGUGGGGCUCAACAAAUCGGGAAAAUAAAUAUGUAUUGAGGUUUGAAUACAUGAUCUCCCACCCAGCCUGCUUUAUCAAUUUUACUAAAAACUUAACCUUGCAGGAUUUGCACCCAUAAUAUAUAUUAUACUCUUCCACACUCAUCAUUAUUUAUGAUCUCUAAAUUGUUUGCAGGAUUUGGAUCUAUGAUAUAUGUUAUAUUCUUCCACUCUUCAUCAAUUAUGAUCUCUAAAUUGCUUGUACGAUUUGGACCCAUAAUAUGUCUUGUACUCUAUCAUAUUCCUCAAUUCUGAUCCCUCAUAGAAUUUAUUUGAGUGAUUAGAAUGCAAGUCAAAUCUUAAGAGAAAGGAAGGAAUUUCAUCUACGUUGUACCAAUAAGACUCUUGCCUUCUGGAAAGUCCUUAAACCAUAUUUUACACUGCUUUUAAAAAGCACUUAAUUUUACUUAUAUAAAUAUUUUUUAGAAAAAAAUAUGGUCGCUUCAUAAAAAUUUAAAAAAAUUUCUAAAAAAUUAAAAAAUCUUAGCAUUCUAUAUAUGGUCCUCCCCAAAAAAAAAAAAAAAACUUCUGAAGAACACUACCGAGCACACACUCAUUCAUUCAUUAUCUUCCCUGCAAAACUUUCCGGAAAAGAUGCAACAAUUUUGAAGUGGAUCAGACUGAUGAUGCACAGAGGUCGACAUUAAUGUUGGGGAUCUUUCGUAUCCUAAAUAGUUACUCAUUAAAAGGACAGCCAUCCUUCUUACUGUCUGAGGCUCUCUUCCAGCUUCGAUUAUUUCCUUUAACAAUUGGGUCUUUGGAAUGAAGUCAGAGCAGCCUUGGAAGUAGUUGCAACUUGCAACUAUAUGUUGACAAUUGAUCUUAAACCAGAAUUCAUAGAAUCCAAAGAGAAAAAAACAGAGAAAGUUGUACCUUGAUGGACAACCAUUCCUGAGCCAUGAGAGGAUUGCUAGCAGGGGAUUCAGGAGUUGUGGAAAAAUAAGCAGCAGGUGAUCUUGGUUCUAUACUGAACUUCCGACAAAAUGGUAGCCAAUGUUUUGAGAAGUGAGAGGCCUCCAACAAAGCAUAGAAGGUCAGGUCUGAGCCUCCAUCAUCAGAGAGAUAGACGCUUAGGUUCUGUGAUGGGUAAUUGUAAGCCAUGACUGAUAAAACAGUGUUGAUGACCAUGAUGGGUGGCUCUAUUCUUGGAUCUGCAGUGCACACAAAUAUGUCUAUGCCCGGCAAAACCUCCUCAUAUCUGCAAUGAAAUUUCAGAAUAAGUCAUUAGCAGGUGAAGAUAGGAGCAAGAAGAGGGAGAGAGAUUGAAAAAACCUCUGAAAGAGCCUGUCUUUGAAGGUGUAACGAUAGAUGGGGCUCCAUCUAACAAGCUGAGUGAGAAACCAGUAGAAACUGAACAACAACUCAGAUAGAAACAAUCCCAUCCAAGCCCAUCUUCUUAGCACUUGUGCGCCUGCAGGUGGGAAGUGAACCACCCUGUAAAUCCAGAUAAAAAUAAUACCCACAAACAUUGAUGCUGCAUAGCAUCUGAAGAGGAUACGACCCUUUGCAACCUUGGUUUCAAAGAGAGGAAGAUAGCCA
rnacentral:lncRNA from 1 species